ACUAAUAGUUGGUCUCCUUUUUGUUAUCACAAUACACCUGCUGUUCUAAACAAUGCCAGUAAGAAAAUACUCAUCCAAAAAAAAAAAAAUCCUUGUUUUGCCUGAGUUCUAAAUAAUUACUACAGUUACUAUUAGGUUUUCAUAAUGUACGUGUAAGCUUUAAAUUAGCAAUUUUAAAAUUAUUUAUCUUUUAAUAAACAUUGUAUUCUACAUGGACGUUAACUUGGAGUACUCCGUUCUACAGUUGUACCCAGACACACACAGACCCAACUACCUGUGAUUUUUCUAGGGUUGAAACUUCCUAGCUCAUCAAAUACAACACAAUCCCAAUGGGAGAGAUUGAGGUUGGAUAUAUCUUCCAAAGAAUGCCACUUUCUAAAAAGGAUAGUGUUUCCACUGCAACAGUUUCAGUUCCCUGGAUAGAAUCUUCUGCUCAUGUCCACUUACAAGCAGAUUUUCUUCCAUCUCUGCCACUCCUGAGAUAGCAAGACCAACCCCUCCUCUUCCUCCUCAACCUACUCAAUGUGAAGAUGAUGAGGAUGAAGGCCUUUAUGAUGAUCCACUUCCACUUAAUGAAUAUGAAAAUCAAGAGGCUGGGCCUUGAAGCAUCUCAGCAAGCAUGACGUCCUCUACACCAUACCCUCUGGCCUGGGGUUCAGCAGUCUUCACCAUUCCCAUUCCCUGAACCCCUCAAAAUCAGGAAUACAGGUUACAGUGAAGACGGCUGUCUGUGAACCAGGGAGUGCACCCUCAGCAGACACCCAAUCUGCUGGCACCAUGCUCUUGGACUCCCCAGACUGCAGAACUGUAAGAAGCACAUUUUUGAUGUUGAGAAGCCACCUAGUCUAUGGUGUUCUGUUAAAGCAGCCCAAGCCCACCAAGACAGCAGCAGGAACAUUUCAACAUGAGCUGUCUAAACACACCUUCCUGCCUCAGAUGAAAACUUCAUCUAGGUUUUCCUGUUAUUGUAACCAUCACUCCUUGUUUUUAAAUGAAGAAAUAAAAAUUAUGUGAGAAACUGAAAUCUAUGUGAAGCAUUCUAGACUCAGCCAUGGGAAAUUAGGAAGCUCAGGAUCCCAGAGGCUCCAAAUCAUACUUCUUAUCAGCCAAAAGCCCCGCUCCUCCUGAACCCACCCACCCACCUAAAAACAAGCCAAAGAGGAGCCUUUCUAGAGGCUUCACU
rnacentral:lncRNA from 1 species